UUGAAAGACUGGAUAACGCUAGAAAACAGAGACAUCUUGGAUCUUGAAGGCUUCGAUAACAGGUACGGGUGGCACUCGUACCUGUGGUAUGAAAAGGUGAAAGUACAUAGAGGCUUUUUAAACCAUAUUUUUAGAGGGCCAAUAUUCCAAGUAUGGGAAAGAAAUAAAAACCUAUUGGAAAGGAAGACACCCUGGUGGAUCUCACCAACAGAGGUGUUAACGGUCAAAAAGUUAAUAUGGAAGGGAAGAAUCCUACCUAUGAAGAACUGACUAGGAAAACGGAUCAAGGUAUAAAACUUAGACCCUAUGAAGAGAUUAAAAACUCAUUUACUGGGUGGUUGCAAUACCACCAGGUAAAUGACCUGUUAAAAGAAGAUAAAAAGAAAAUAGGAUUCGAAGAUAAAAAAUCCAAAUUCAAUGUGGAAGUUGUUGAAGGAAAGAACAAAAUACUGUCUAGAAUAUACGAUAUUUUAUUGGAGUGGUAUAC